CAAUUAUUUACAUUAUUUUAAAAAAUUUUCGACUUUCUUAUUUGAAUUAGAUUAUAAUACUAUCAAUAACACCAUGUUAUUUGUGCUAUUGGAUUUUCGGCCGUUGGAUGAAAAAAAUAUACGAUUAGGAUAAUAUGGACCCCCUAGGGUUGAGUGAGUUAUUGGUUUAAUAGUAUAAUUAAAGGUGUCCAAAAUAUCUGAUAUCCCAUACCCAAUCCGGACCCUACCCGGACCCGAACCGGACCCGAUAAAAAAUGAAUAGUAUACGGAUAAAAAAAAUUACCCAUUAAAAUUUCGGGUAUAGGUCCGGAUAUUUUAUACCCAUACCCGAUUUGGACCCGACCCGAAUCUAACUUUUAAAUAGGUAGGGUCCGGAAUAGUUUUCAAAUCCGGACCCGGACCCGGACCCGAUGAAAUAUCCGAUAGUAAAUAAAAAAAAAUAAACUUUUGAAGUUGAAGGAUCAAUUUUAAUAUGACUUAUAGAUGAUGAGUCACUAUGUAUUUUCAUCCUAAUGAAACCCUAGCCGUCUCUUUUACUCAUUACUUUUUUCUAAUUUUUUUACUCUUUGUUUUCUACUCUUUUUUUCAUUUUAUUUCCGCCAACAAUAUUUCAUUGUCAACAAUAUAGUUUGUUUAUUGACUAUUUAAUAAAGUUUAUAAAAAAAUAUAUUUAUACGGAUAUCCGUACCCGAUUUAGACCCAAUCCAUAUCCGAUUUUGAACGGGUAGUAUACGGGUAGUCACUACCCAGACCCGCUCAAAUAGACCCGAUGGGUAUAUUAGAAACUUUAGUACCCAGACCCGGACCCGACCCGAAGUUAAAUGGGUAGGGUAUAUAUAUUUUUUUGUAACCAUUUCUUUUUAGGGUAUGGGUACAGUAUAUUAAUUAUCCAGACCCGACCCGGUCCACGGAUAUCUUUAAGUAUAAUCUAACUCAGGUUUAAAUGAUUUGUCCUUAAGUUAGGGAGAAAAUAGAUGUUUUACUAUUUUUACUAUAGGAAAAAUUUAACUCAGGUUUAAAUGAAGAUAACUUAACGGGCACUAACAAUAUGAGUAUUUUUGAAUAACAAAAAAAAUAUGCGAGAAAUACAUUAAAAAUAAAAAAUAAGUAGAGAUAAAUAAGAUAUUUUAGAAAUUUUGUGGGUACACAGACAACUAUUCCUAACCUACAACAACAUGCACCGACAAAGAAAAACCUUGCAGAUGAUCAUCCGGAAGCAGUGCUCUUCAUCACUUCUCCUUUGACCUCAUCUGCAUCUUUAACGGACAAACAAAUGCAAUGUUGUAUAUUUAUUAGGGAAAACUUCAAAUAUCAUCCCUAUAGUUUCACACUUUUUCACUUUAGUGUCAUUUGAUUUAAAGUGUAUCAAUUUAGUGCCAUAUGAUUUUUUUUUAUCUUUUUAUUAUUAAUUUCACUAAUAUUUUUCGUUAAAUUAGUGACAAAAUUAAAACUAAAGGAUACUAAAAUGAAUAUUCGAUAAACUUAAAUGGGGUAUCUGAAGUUUUUUGUAUAUAAUUUAACAAAAUAUUAACGAAAAAGCUGACGAAAAAAUAAAAAAAAAAUCACAUGACUUUAACUUGAUACACUUUAAACCACAGAGUACUAAAUGAAAAAAUGCGAGAUCACAGGGGUGGUAUUUGAAGUUUACCCUAUUUAAUAUUACUCCUAACAUAGGGAGGGGAGGGACCAUGCAGGGAGGGACAGAGGAGACAAGGACCAGAGCAUAUAUAUAUAUAUAUAUAGAGAGAGAGAGAGAGAGAGAGUUGAGCUAGGAUAUUUUUACAAGUAUCACCCCCAUGGUGCUGUUAGGUUUUUAGCCAUUAGAUCUAUUUCUUGAUUACUAAUAGUUUUUGGAUCAAACACAAUUCCACCUACCACCAUCAUCUCAACCUCACAUCUCUCCAUCUAAGGGCUAAAAACACUAAAGCACCACCCCCAUGGUACUUGUAAAAGUAUUCUAGCUCCACUAUAUAU
rnacentral:lncRNA from 1 species